UGUAUAAAAAAAACCCCUCACAUCUUUUUUAUCUACUCAUCAGUUGAUGGGCAUUUGUACUGUUUUCAAGAUUUGUUGCUGUAUUUUUCCAGUAUUGGGGAUUGAACUCAGGACCUUUCCCAUGUGAGGCAGGUGUGGCACCACUGUGCCACCACCCUGGCUGCUGUUGUAUUUUUGAGACAGGGUUUCACUAUGUAGCCCAGGAUGGCCUCAAACUUGAGGUGAUCCUCCUGCCUCAGCCUCCCAAGUGCUGGGAUUACAGGUGUGUGCCUUCAUGCCCAGAGAUUGAGAAAUAAAUUUCUGUUGUUUGAAAUCCACUCAACUGUGGUAUUUUGUUAGAGUAGGCCAACAGAUUAAGACGCCUUCCAGCCACCCUUCAGAAACAAUAAGCUGGCCCCAGGACUUGAUCCAACCCUGCACAAACUUCCUUUAAGGCUGGGUGUUUUAUUCUCAGAAAUUCUAUUCCAGGGAGGACAAUUAGUAGUGAACAAAACUAUCUCUCAGCAGAGGGUAGGAAAGGGGUCUGGGACCAGAAAAGGAAGAACAUAUUGUUUGUGGGUGUUUUUUUGUUUUAUUUUGUUUUGUGUUUUUGGUACCAGGGAUUGAACUUAGGACCUUGCACUUGCGAGCGAAGUAGGCUCAAUGCCACUGAGCUAAAUCCCUGGCCCCUUGCUUGUUUUUAUAGAUGCUUCUCAGAGAUGGGACUGGACAGCCAGGUCCAAAACCUCACAGGAGCCCAGAGCAGCCAAGGGGGCAGUGUCUUCUCAAUUCCAGAUGUAGUGACAUGGUUGUGCCAAAGGGCAAGUGAAGGGUCCAUGCUAGCUGGCAAGGGUCGCUCCCAGGGUCAGGCUGACCUCCCCUCACUCGAUAGAUGAGGAAACUGAGGCCCAGAGAAAGAAAGGGACUAGGAUGUCCAAUCACAGCACCUUUCAAGGGCUCCAUUCCUCCUGUCACAUAAGGCAUGGUAGUGGGCCCCCUCUUUCCUCCAGUGUCCUAGGUUCAAAUCCACCUAACUUCCUGGAGAACUUGGCAGAUGCACACCUUGUUCCAGGCAACACUGAGGCCACAAAGAAAUGCACAGCACUCAACACCAUCCUUACCUUCAUGGGAUCUGUAAUCCAGUCAGAGAAGGACUAUGGCUUUGGACACAGGAGGACGAGACCACAAACCAGCCCUUAAAAUUCCAAGUGCCUAGGGGAGCUGGAAUGACAUGCUCAGGGCAGAGCUCUGGAAACUGAGAGUGCAGCUGAGGCAAAGGGAGAAGAAUGCAAGUCACAGAACUGCCUGGACAGCAAACGAGGGUCAAAGAGCAAGGAGAGGCCUGCAGGGCGCUACAAAGCAAAGCAGAGGAUGAGGAAAUUUUUGCAGGUGGAUCCUGGGGACUCUGCCAGGCUGGGCUAGGGACUCUUGGGGGAGCAUUUUCCACCCAGAGUUGAGCAGUGGGCCUGGGCCUUCACAGAAAGGAGACCAUUUCUAUAGGGCCCAAUGGAGAAGGAGCAAGGAGAGAGGGAAGGGUUCAAGUGCAUGCUGAAAACCACACUGCUCUGGGUUCUUUGUAUCCCUGCUCUCAUCAAGCACUUAUGAAGAGGCAGAGGGGCCCAGAUACAGAGGUCUGAUGCCCCCAUUCCAAGGAGGCUUCUCCAGCUCCUCUUGCUUCAUAACCCUGGCAGCAACAGGUGUCAGUGUGGGCGUGAAAGUGCCCACCUCAGAGGUGCAGGGCCCCUCGCCAGUCUUGGGAUUGUCCUCCCUAAUUGUUCAUCAAGUCAUGGCUCAAUAUGUACUUGUUCCAUAAGUGAAUAAAACAAUAAAUCUAGGCAGGGAGCUGUGCACUGAGCACAGGGUGGAAGGGGUUCAUUUAAUAAAAAUUUAGAGACUUUUCCAGAUUCUGAGGCACCAAUGAUAGAGUGAACAAUACAGACAUGAUCCCAGCCUUGUUUUGUUGUUUUUUGUUGUUUCAAGACAGAAUCUCAUUUUAUAGUUUAGGUUGGCCUUGACCUGACUAUGUGGCACAGACUGGCCUCCAAUUUUUGGCAAUCCUUCUGCCUCAGUCUCCUAAAUUCUGGGAUUACAGGUAUGCUCCACUAUGCCUGGCUAUGAUCUCAAUCUCAAGUGCCAUAUGGUCUGGCAGGUGAUAUUCUCUCCACUGAUGAUAUGGAGAUGAUACCAGAAUCCUUACCUUCUCUGAGGCCUAUAUCUCUUGCCUCUUGUUUUUUGUCUGCCACCAAACUUCCUGUCUCCUUCCUGUUACACAUUAAGAAGAUGCUGUUUGGGUAGAUCCAAGCUCAGUCCUACUGGAUCCAUCGCCCUGUCCAAAGUGAGGUAACUGGGCACAGAGCUCAAACAGGGCCAAACAGAGAAUACCUUUGGAGAACAGAAAAGUUUUCUCUUUCUGUUGAGAUUGCUAAUCUAGGGCUGCCCAUGGCCACAUUUCCUAUAGAGAGCAGAGCAGAGCAGAACUGAGCAGAGCGGAGACCUAGAAGGAGGGGAAGCAGGUUCUAGUGGUACUGAUAUCCAGUCCCUGCCUGAGUUCCUGUUGCCCUUCACAGGCUCUUCCCUCUACUCUAGGAAUCAUUUGGGAUCACUAUUUUCCCCCUUUGUUUCCUGUUAUGCUGGGGACUGAACCCAGGGCCUCACACAUGCAAAACUAGUGCUCUACCACAAAGCUAUACCCCGCAAACUCCAGGUCACUUUUUUGCUGAGCUAGUCUGCCACUGGGUUGCUGUCCCCUGUAAUCAAAAAAAAUUCUGAUGAACACACAGCCCCAUGUCUCAGGGCCAAAGCCCACUGCACAGUCUAGAAUAUCAGCCCACUCUCUUUACUCUGGGGAGGCUACUGCUCCGGACCCCUUCUGAUCUGGCCUGAGAGAUCAGCUUCCUGGGUCUGCUGUAAUACCCCACCAAGAGGAGGCUGAAUCCAUAUCCCAUUCUCCCGGGGGGGCUUUUUCACCUCACACUGAUGAAGCAUUUAUGAAGCGCUGUAGUAGACACUACAGGGAAACUGAGGAUCAAUCAGAUAACACAGACUCUGCCCUUAUUCUGCUUACACAGUCAGAUCUGACAUAUAGUGCCUAUAGAGGGCUGUUGGAUAGAAGUGGACUUCCCAGGUAGCAGAAAUACAAUGGGAAACCCAGUCCUGUCACAGAAAGAGCCCUAUCACAAAGCAACACAUUGAUAGGAAAAAAACACUUCAUGCUUCUCAGACACCCACAUCAUCACCUGGGAAAUGCAUCCCUAUACACAGAGGCAAGGGGUUCUGCAAUCAUUGGUUACCCCAGCUCUUCCCUCUGGUCAAUGAGGCCUCCUUUCCCUUCCCGUUUUGAUGCUUCAGUGGAGCCAGGAGGCUGGCAGCAAGGGCUUGACUAGUCUGUCGCUCCACAGCAAGCCUCCCUGCUGUCCUGGCAGCUUCCCCCAUUGGGCCCAGCAGCAGAAGGAGCCUUCGAGCUGACCUGGGCCAGACAGCUGCUCUCCAUUAUAAGUUGAAGACAUCACUGCCGAAGGAAGAGAAGUUAAUUCUUGCACGAUGCCUGGCACGCGGCAGAUUCUCAACAAAUAUUUGCUGAAUGAGAGGCAUGUGGAAUAAAACCCUGAAAGGCGCAAGAAGAGGCGAGGACAAGGAGGGUGUUUGAAGUUGGGGAACUGCAGGAGCAAAGACCGCAGGCAGGAAUUCUGGGUCUAGUGACCACCUGGCUUGGUUCCUGAAGAGCUGGGCACUCAGGGGACCUGAUGUGCUACUUGAGCAUGGCAGGGCGGCCUCCAGCCCCUAAGCUUCUCCCUCGUCCGCCACGCAGAGGCAGAGGCCAGGGGUCAUCCCAGGGAGAGCCAGAGGCCGCCUGCGGGCCACCAGCCAAGAGGAACAGCUGUUUUCAAUGAGUCGCUUGGCCCUGAGGCCAAGACUGGAAAAGUCCGAGUCAGCAGAAGCUGCCAGCCCCGUCUUGCUAAGGGGCCAACCCGGGGGACCCAGCAGCCCACCCUGCACUGCCCCACAGGAGCCUGUCCACGUAAGUGCAGGCGCUGCGCCUGGGAUGGGGCCGGGGCCAUCCCUCUGGUCAGGGCCCAAGCCCGGCCCAGCGGUGCCCUAUCCGCACCAAGACUUCGAGCUUCCGUGGGUCCCCCGCCACCCUUGGAUCCUCUUCCUCCCCGGCAGCCCUCCGUUCCAGCCAGACGCCCAUGGACUCAAGGCCGGGCGAACGCAGCCCCAGCUCCCCGGCUCAGCUCUGCCUCGUCCUGUGUGCACAGAGUUUCCAGCUCCGGCAGGAGGGCUUCCUCCACCAUUCAUCUCCAAAUGCUCUUCUCUCUGCUCAGAAUGCUUGUAGAUAUUGGUAUAGCAAACUGGCAGGGAAUGGGCGGAGGUGGGACAGUCACCUCCACCUACUAAACCAAGAGGAGGGGAGCGAGGUGCAGGGGAGGCGGGAGGGAGGAACCCGGGUAAAUGGCGACUCCUCCCACUCCUCUGUGAUCUCAUCCCCUGCUGGCUUUUGUCUUCCUGUAUUAAAACAUCACAAUCAUUCUCGGCCUGUCCUUUCCCAGGGCCCAUCUUGCACGACGCCACCCAGCGCUGGUUGAGAAAACCAGCGGCAGCAACCCCCGCAUGCUGCGGCGGGGCUCGGGGCCUCCCCUUCCCCGCAGGUGCAGCCCAGGCCCGCACGCCCUCGGCCAAGCUCCGCACACCCGGGUCUUCGUGGGCACCGCCCCAGAGCCGUCCCAGCCCCCAGCCCGAAGCCAAAAUAGCCUCAGAACCACUUCCUUCCCCGUGGGGGGAAUUGCACAAGAGGGCCGGCUCCGGGGCGGCAGGACGUGGCUUUCUGGGCUGGCACAACCCAACCCCAUUGAUCCGGCCGCGAAGGGUGCGAUUCAGGACUCCGACCUCAGAGCUAGCGGAGGAUAGCGGUCCUCCCAGGACAACCGCCACUCCUCACUGAGGCCCAUCCCUGAGGCUUCUGCCGAGCUACACAUUUCAUGUCUGUGGAACAGAGUUGUGAGCAUCUUACUUGAUAAACACCGCCAGGAGAGCUAUGCGGGGACCCAUCCCCAGAGCCCCGCUUGGGUCCCCACACACCGUCCAGGUUGCUGGGGAGAUCUACAGGAGUACUGACAGAGUCUUUUGGGGGCUUGUCUUCCUUGUGAACAGUUCCAGAGCUGUGUCCUACCUGCCGGAUGCUGGGCGUAAAUGAGGUGCUCGAUAUAUUUUCAUUCAAGUUGGCUAACUGUAGCUCUGCAGAUGUUCAGCUGUGCUGCAGAAAGCCCAGAGAGAGGAAGAAAACGAGCCAAGCAGAAAAAGUUCGGUGGACUGAGUGAGUGGCCAUGGGAGAUGGGAACUCAGUCUGACCAAGUCUAAGCCCGAAGUGCUUUACAGACCUUACCAAAAGGCCAAGGGCGUGGAGAAAGAGAGACAGUUAAAAAAAAAUACUUCUCAAAUAAAAUGUUUAAAUGAAUAAAA